ensembl:lncRNA
UGACAAGUGAGGUGAAGUCAGGAGUAAUUUCUGUUGAAGCAGUGAGCGGUUCUGUUGAAGGAUUGUGCGGUUCUGUUGAAGAAGUGUGCGGUACUGUUUAAGAAGUGUGCGGUACUGCUGCAAGAUGUUCAUCAGUGAGGCUGCAUCUGCGCUUGGACUUGUUGAAUUGUAGCAUCAGUCCGCAGGGAUGGACCGAUCUCUGUUCCUCCUGCUGCUAUUCACAGGGCUCCCCUCAUGCCUCUCCGUCCAGAUUUACUUUAUAGCUGAACCAGGGACCUGGGGUUGAUGCUCAGAGUAACUGCAUACAGAACCACACUGACCUGGCAACAACAGAGAACAUGACGGAAAUUGACAUGUUUAAUACCGUAACUGAACACUGGAAUGAUACAACCUGGUUAGAGCUGUAUAAGAGCCCCUGGAGGUGGUCACUUGACAGAACAGAGUUAAAAGGGGAGAAGUGUUGGGACAGUAAGCCACAACAACCAGAUAAUCAGAAUCAUAUGGAGUUUUGUGUGUCUAUUAAAGAUGGGAUGUGGAAUGAUGAAGAAUGUGACAAAACACAUUAUUUUGUAUGCUAUGAUGAACACAAUCACACCAGUAAAUACAUCUACAUCGACUAUCAAGGCAAUUGGAAUUUCUCUCAGAACUACUGUAAACUACACAGACCUGGCCAGUGUGAGGAACUCAACAGAGUGGGAGAAAGUGAACAACAUCUCUCUCUCAUCUAAUGAUGAGUUGGUCUUGGUCCAGCAGAACAAGACAUGGUCAGAAGCCUUGUGGUUCUGUAGAAACCAGAGGAUACCUGCACAUUGAACUUCUGGUUCUGGGUCAGUGGAAAUUAUUCCUGCUACCAGAACUGGGCUGAAGGGCAGGACCAUAAUUCUUCUUCUUAUUCUUCUUAUUCUUCCUCUUAAAAUGUGGAUAAUUCCACUGACAACGAGAUCAGCGCCACCCAGUGGGCAGCUCUAUUGUAGGACUGGUGUCUGCCAGCACAGUCGUGUUUGUUGGAAGAGACUCUCCUGCAGCAUAUGUGCCAGCGGAUGCUCAGUGACAAGACAGUAGAGUAUGUAUGAAGCAGAACGACUUUGUCUCGAUCUUUGAACCUCCUAAAUCCAUGGUGGUGUCGCUGUCAUGAGGCAAGACGUUAAUCGAAAAUUAGACACAGCUUAAAAUGGGAGGACAGAAAGGUGUGUUAUUCUCUUCUAGUUUGUCUCUGAUAUUAUAUCUGUUCUCUAAUCCAGGAUACUAGGAACAGACCCAGCUCUCUGGACCAACUAAAAACUCCAACCAUAAUCCCUGUUCCUGACCUGGCUCUCUUGACCAACUAAAUCCUGUACCCCAACAUAUUGAUUCCAGGCAUUGCGCUGAUUUACAUUAUUCAAGGUGAUAGAUCAAGUCUUACAAUGCCCACUCACCUUGAAUAAUGUAAAUCAGCGCAAUUUUAUAUUCUAGAUAUUAAUUUAAAUCAUUUGUAUGUCUUUAUAUUAUAUUUUAU